UGAGUCGAGACUGAGCUUAAAUGUUGC
rnacentral:sRNA from 1 species